GACGUAGGGCGCGAGCGUUGUCCGGAUUUAUUGGGCGUAAAGAGCUCGUAGGCGGUCUGUCGCGUCUGCUGUGAAAUCCCGAGGCUCAACCUCGGGCUUGCAGUGGGUACGGGCAGGCUAGAGUGCGGUAGGGGAGAAUGGAACUCCUGGUGUAGCGGUGGAAUGCGCAGAUAUCAGGAGGAACACCGAUGGCGAAGGCAGUUCUCUGGGCCGUAACUGACGCUGAGGAGCGAAAGCGUGGGGAGCGAACAGG
rnacentral:rRNA from 1 species